ACGGGGGUGGCAAGCGUUGUCCGGAAUUAUUAGGCGUAAAGGGUGGGUAGGUGGUUUUGUAAGCGGGACGUGUACUGCCCUGGCUAAACUAUUGUAAGCCUUGCGAACUGGAAGACUUGAGUGCAGGAGAGGAAAGUGGAAUUCCUAGUGUAGCGGUGAAAUGCGUAGAUAUUAGGAGGAACACCGAAGGCGAAGGCAGCUUUCUGGACCGUAACUGACACUGAGGCGCGAAAGCGUGGGGAGCAAACAG
rnacentral:rRNA from 1 species